rfam:Trichobilharzia regenti genome assembly, scaffold: TRE_scaffold0001038
AUCUAGAUGAUGAGUCCUGAAUAGGACGAAAUGCGCAUCCUGGUGGAU